UGGAGCUGUGCUGUUGGACAAAGCAGCAGUUGUACCUAAGAAAUGGCACUCUUUUCUUUGUGAACCAGAUCCCGAUUUCAUCAUCAGCCCUGUGACACUCGGAGUGUUUGGUUGUGUAUGCGCAGUACUUUCCUGUCCCUCACAUUUUCCAGCGUGUUGGUGAAUGUUUAUUGGGUGGCUGAGGACCAACCCCCUCCCAGGUGCUUUCAGAAUGACUGUUGGUGUCUUGUGUAACACAGCUCUCCAGAUGAAUGCAGGAAAAGUGCACUAAGCGUGUCCCCAGAGCUAAUGAUGCUCAGCACAACGGCUGAAUGCCCCCAGUCGGUGCUGACAGAAGCAGCACUUUGUGCCAGACUGAGUGCUGGGAGAGCAGAGCAACUAAAUAGCGUCCCCCUCUUUCAUAGCUCCUGCGGCUUGGACCAGCCUCCUUUCCUUGUCGCUUUAGUGGAUUUGGCCGUGUGGAUAAAUUCCCAUUCUUGCUGCUUCUUUCUUUGUGCCAUCAGUCAGCUCUGACAGAGCUCUGUGUGAGGAAACAUGGAGCGUUUUUAUGAAAUCUGACAGCUUCCACAUUUCUGCACUGGAGUCGUUAUGGCAGCACACACCUUAGAAGCUACUGUGCACAUUUGCUAUUUCUGGAAAGCUUGGCUAUUAAUGUCAUACUGAUUUCAUAACACUUUAUACCAUGAAAUAUGCUGCGUCUGUCUUAAAUAAGUACCAGCUCUAUUUCUCGUUACGCUUUCUGACAUGAAUAUCUGAGCUCAAGGAAACCCCUACCCACUGAAAUGGUGUUUCCUUUGUUGAAUGCACAUUGUUCAACCUUGCUGAGCCCUCGUGUGCAUCGACUUCCUGCAUGCACUGAAAGCUCCUGGCGUGUGGGCUCAGCUUUAGCAGGAUUGCUGGUCCUGAAGCACUGAUUUGCAGCCCGUGCUGCUGCCCCGCUCAUGGCUUUGCCUCAAACACAUGCUGAGCCCUGGCAUGCAGGGGAUUUGUUCUCACCUUUGGGCAAUGAAAUCCUAUCUGACUUCUGCUGCUAAUAAGUCUUAAUCCCCUGCAGCGGAGGACAACGGCCUCGGCUGCUUUAUUUACUGAGAAAAGAUUAGAAGGUAAUUUGUGCUGUGAGAAGUGCCGUGGUACUGAGAAGCUCUUGUGCUCGGUGGGAGGAGCAGCCGCACGCUUCCAGCUGCCCCAGGGCCCGGCGUGCAGCGGGGCUUUCUGAGGACUAAAAUCCUGGCAGCCAGGUGGGAUGGCUGGACAAGCCAUGGACAUCUCCUGCUUUGAGCUGCUGCUGCUCGCAACUGCGCAUCUGUCUGUGGCGUGGGGUUGUUUGGGUUGCUUUCACGUUUGCAUCGUGGAGCAGGGUCAUAAGGAGCUGCUCCCACCUGUCUGUGUGCUGGACGAGGGCUCAGUUACUGCAGAGCUGCUGCUGCCUUUCAAAGGGCGCCUUCGCAGUGCUCUCGUGACGUUCGUCGCGGAGUGGAGCUCAGUCAGAUUGGGGAAGGACAGCAGAGGAAAGCUUUGCAUUUUCACAACGACUGUGUGACUCGUCCUGCCCAAAGCGACGCGGGCAGUCUGUACGAGGCCGCCGGCCGCUCAUUCUGUCUCGGGAGGACGCUCACACCGCCCGCUGCCCCGCGGGGCUCACACGGGCGUUUCUCGCCACGCUUCGGAGCUCUCGAGCGCUCGGGCUGCAGCGGGAAGAAAUCUUUCUGCAGUGCCACGCUGCCUCCCGGCGGCCUUUAAGUCUCUUACACUGCUGCCUCGCGGCGAAGCAGCGCUUCGGUGCUCGCUGUGGCCGCAGCCCCCCCCGCCCCCCCCGUGCCGCUCCUCCCGAGGGCGCUGUGCCGGGCCCGGGGCUGCGCACCGCCGCGGGGUCUGCGGGAGUUACGAGGCGAUAGAAGGAUGCUGCCGUUACGGGUUAAUGGCUUCACCUAACUUACUUUUUUUUCUUCCCCCCCAUUGAUACAGACCGUGCCGGCAGCAGCGUGUGCGUGAGAGGAUUACGCCGCAGCUCUGACCGUUUGCUUAGCAGUGUGCCCUGGACUGCAUUACUGCUGAGGCUCAGUGACGUCCAGGUUGUGCUCAGUUAUUUCCCACUGAGGUUACACUGCCUUGCAAAUUGUUCUGCUUCGGAGAGCUCUGUUCUGCAGUGUGCGUUCCUAAAACGGGCUGCUUCCAAGG
rnacentral:lncRNA from 1 species